rnacentral:rRNA from 2 species
AGAGUUUGAUCCUGGCUCAGAACGUACGCUGGCGGCACGCCUAACACAUGCAAGUCGAACGAAGUAGCAAUACUUAGUGGCAGACGGGUGAGUAACAUGUGGGUAUCUGCCCUUUGGCCUGGAAUAACACGAGGAAACUUGUGCUAAUACCGGAUAAGUCUUUACGGAGAAAGCUUUAUGCACCAUUGGAUGAGCCUGCACUUGAUUAGUUUGUUGGUGGGGUAAUGGCCUACCAAGACUGUGAUCAAUAGCUGAUUUGAGAGGAUGAUCAGCCACAUUGGGACUGAGACACGACCCAAACUCCUACGGGAGGCAGCAGUGGGGAAUCUUGCACAAUGGAGGAAACUCUGAUGCAGCGAUGCCGCGUGAGUGAAGAAGGCCCUUGGGUUGUAAAGCUCUUUCGUCGGGGAAGAAAAUGACUGUACCCGAAUAAGAAGGUCCGGCUAACUUCGUGCCAGCAGCCGCGGUAAUACGAAGGGACCUAGCGUAGUUCGGAAUUACUGGGCUUAAAGAGUUCGUAGGUGGUUGAAAAAGUUGGUGGUGAAAUCCCAGAGCUUAACUCUGGAACUGCCAUCAAAACUUUUCAGCUAGAGUUUGAUAGAGGAAAGCAGAAUUUCUAGUGUAGAGGUGAAAUUCGUAGAUAUUAGAAAGAAUACCAAUUGCGAAGGCAGCUUUCUGGAUCAUUACUGACACUGAGGAACGAAAGCAUGGGUAGCGAAGAGGAUUAGAUACCCUCGUAGUCCAUGCCGUAAACGAUGUGUGUUAGACGUUGGAAAUUUAUUUUCAGUGUCGCAGCGAAAGCGAUAAACACACCGCCUGGGGAGUACGACCGCAAGGUUAAAACUCAAAUGAAUUGACGGGGACCCGCACAAGUAGUGGAGCAUGUGGUUUAAUUCGAAGAUACGCGCAGAACCUUACCAACACUUGACAUGUUCGUCGCGACUCUAAGAGAUUAGAGUUUUCGGUUCGGCCGGACGAAACACAGGUGCUGCAUGGCUGUCGUCAGCUCGUGUCGUGAGAUGUUGGGUUAAGUCCCGCAACGAGCGCAACCCUCACUUUUAGUUGCCAUCAUUAAGUUGGGCACUCUGAAAGAACUGCCAGUGAUAAGCUGGAGGAAGGUGGGGAUGACGUCAAGUCCUCAUGGCCCUUACGUGUUGGGCUACACACGUGCUACAAUGGUAUCUACAACAGGAAGCAAGACUGCGAGGUCAAGCAAAUCCUUAAAAGAUACCUCAGUUCGGAUUGCACUCUGCAACUCGAGUGCAUGAAGCUGGAAUUACUAGUAAUCGUGGAUCAGCGUGCCACGGUGAAUGCGUUCCCGGGUCUUGUACACACCGCCCGUCACACCAUGGGAGUUGGUUCUACCUUAAGGCAAGGUUUUAAACCCUUGACCACGGUAUAGUCAGCGACUGGGGUGAAGUCGUAACAAGGUAACC